rnacentral:rRNA from 1 species
UGGGGAAUUUUGCGCAAUGGGCGAAAGCCUGACGCAGCGACGCCGCGUGGAGGAUGAAGACCCUUGGGUCGUAAACUCCUGUCAGGUGGGAAGAAAACCGUCCGGUUAAUACCCGGGUGGCUUGACUGUACCACCGGAGGAAGCCCCGGCUAACUCCGUGCCAGCAGCCGCGGUAAUACGGAGGGGGCAAGCGUUGUUCGGAAUCACUGGGCGUAAAGGGCGCGUAGGCGGCCUGACCAAGUCGGGUGUGAAAGCCCUCGGCUCAACCGAGGAAUUGCAUCCGAUACUGGUUGGCUAGAGUCCGGGAGGGGGUAGCGGAAUUCCCAGUGUAGCGGUGAAAUGCGUAGAUAUUGGGAAGAACACCGGUGGCGAAGGCGGCUACCUGGACCGGUACUGACGCUGAGGCGCGAAAGCCAGGGGAGCGAAUGGGAUUAGAUACCCCCGUAGUCC